rnacentral:rRNA from 1 species
AUUGAACGCUGGCGGCAGGCUUAACACAUGCAAGUCGAGCGGGGGAAGGUAGCUUGCUACCGGACCUAGCGGCGGACGGGUGAGUAAUGCUUAGGAAUCUGCCUAUUAGUGGGGGACAACAUCUCGAAAGGGAUGCUAAUACCGCAUACGUCCUACGGGAGAAAGCAGGGGAUCUUCGGACCUUGCGCUAAUAGAUGAGCCUAAGUCGGAUUAGCUAGUUGGUGGGGUAAAGGCCUACCAAGGCGACGAUCUGUAGCGGGUCUGAGAGGAUGAUCCGCCACACUGGGACUGAGACACGGCCUAGACUCCUACGGGGGGCAGCAGUGGGGAAUAUUGGACAAUGGGGGGAACCCUGAUCCAGCCAUGCCGCGUGUGUGAAGAAGGCCUUAUGGUUGUAAAGCACUUUAAGCGAGGAGGAGGCUACUUUAGUUAAUACCUAGAGAUAGUGGACGUUACUCGCAGAAUAAGCACCGGCUAACUCUGUGCCAGCCGCCGCCGUAA